rnacentral:rRNA from 1 species
GUAGCGUAUAUUAAAGUUGUUGCAGUUAAAAAGCUCGUAGUCGAACUUCGGGCCUGGCGGGACGGUCUGCCUUACGGUAUGUACUGUCCGGCCGGGCCUUACCUCUUGGUGAGGCUGUAUGCCCUUUAUUGGGUGUGCAGUGGAACCAGGAAUUUUACCUUGAGAAAAUUAGAGUGUUCAAAGCAGGCAAUUGCCCGAAUACAUUAGCAUGGAAUAAUAGAAUAGGACGUGCGGUUCUAUUUUGUUGGUUUCUAGAGUCGCCGUAAUGAUUAAUAGGGAUAGUUGGGGGCAUUGGUAUUGAGUCGCUAGAGGUGAAAUUCUUGGAUUGACUCAAGACCAACUAUUG